rnacentral:rRNA from 1 species
CGAACGCUGGCGGCAGGCCUAAUACAUGCAAGUCGAACGGCUCUUCGGAGCAGUGGCGGACGGGUGAGUAACGCGUGGGAAUGUGCCCUUUGGUACGGAACAACACAGGGAAACUUGUGCUAAUACCGUAUGUGCCCUUCGGGGGAAAGAUUUAUCGCCAUUGGAGCAGCCCGCGUUGGAUUAGGUAGUUGGUGAGGUAAAGGCUCACCAAGCCUACGAUCCAUAGCUGGUCUGAGAGGAUGACCAGCCACACUGGGACUGAGACACGGCCCAGACUCCUACGGGAGGCAGCAGUAGGGAAUCUUGCGCAAUGGGCGAAAGCCUGACGCAGCCAUGCCGCGUGUAUGAUGAAGGUCUUAGGAUUGUAAAAUACUUUCACCGGGGAAGAUAAUGACGGUACCGUAAGGAUAAGCACCGGCUAACUACGUGCCAGCCGCCGCCGUAACAC